rnacentral:rRNA from 1 species
GAUGAACGCUGGCGGCGUGCCUAAUACAUGCAAGUCGAGCGAAUGGAUUGAGAGCUUGCUCUUAUGAAGUUAGCGGCGGACGGGUGAGUAACACGUGGGUAACCUGCCCAGAAGACUGGGAUAACUCCGGGAAACCGGGGCUAAUACCGGAUAACAUUUUGAACCGCAUGGUUCGAAAUUGAAAGGCGGCUUCGGCUGUCACUUAUGGAUGGACCCGCGUCGCAUUAGCUAGUUGGUGAGGUAACGGCUCACCAAGGCAACGAUGCGUAGCCGACGUGAGAGGGUGAUCGGCCACACUGGGACUGGGACACGGCCCAGACUCCUACGGGAGGCAGCAGUAGGGAAUCUUCCGCAAUGGACGAAAGUCUGACGGAGCAACGCCGCGUGAGUGAUGAAGGCUUUCGGGUCGUAAAACUCUGUUGUUAGGGAAGAACAAGUGCUAGUUGAAUAAGCUGGCACCUUGACGGUACCUAACCAGAAAGCCACGGCUAACUACGUGCCAGCCGCCGCGGUAA